rnacentral:rRNA from 1 species
AUGGCUCAGAUUGAACGCUGGCGGCAGGCCUAACACAUGCAAGUCGAGCGGAUGACGGGAGCUUGCUCUCGAAUUCAGCGGCGGACGGGUGAGUAAUGCCUAGGAAUCUGCCUGGUAGUGGGGGACAACGUCUCGAAAGGGACGCUAAUACCGCAUACGUCCUACGGGAGAAAGCAGGGGACCUUCGGGCCUUGCGCUAUCAGAUGAGCCUAGGUCGGAUUAGCUAGUUGGUGAGGUAAUGGCUCACCAAGGCGACGAUCCGUAACUGGUCUGAGAGGAUGAUCAGUCACACUGGAACUGAGACACGGUCCAGACUCCUACGGGAGGCAGCAGUGGGGAAUAUUGGACAAUGGGCGAAAGCCUGAUCCAGCCAUGCCGCGUGUGUGAAGAAGGUCUUCGGAUUGUAAAGCACUUUAAGUUGGGAGGAAGGGUUGUAGAUUAAUACUCUGCAAUUUUGACGUUACCGACAGAAUAAGCACCGGCUAACUCUGUGCCAGCAGCCGCGGUAAUACAGAGGGUGCAAGCGUUAAUCGGAAUUACUGGGCGUAAAGCGCGCGUAGGUGGUUUGUUAAGUUGGAUGUGAAAGCCCCGGGCUCAACCUGGGAACUGCAUUCAAAACUGACAAGCUAGAGUAUGGUAGAGGGUGGUGGAAUUUCCUGUGUAGCGGUGAAAUGCGUAGAUAUAGGAAGGAACACCAGUGGCGAAGGCGACCACCUGGACUGAUACUGA